CUAUGUCAAACCAUAUGUCUAUACACUCUUGUGAAAGUUUGUAGCAUUUUAAAUUGGAGAUGGGUUAGAGAUGAAGAAGACUGUAGAAACAGGAAAAGAGUACUCCCUUCUGCUCUGCACUGAGUCUCCUGGACUCUAAAUAGCAUCACUUGUCUCCCAGCAGCUGGCCAGCAGGUGGGGAGAGACCCUCUGCUCCGAAGGCAGGAGGAGUUUCUGCUCAAGGUGACAGGAGCAAAGCAGGAGGAAACUGCACAGGAAGAGAUAUACUGCAGUCAAGGCAUUAAACCUGAGAGCCCACUGAUGUUGAUCUUGGCCAUGGGACAUGAAUCGGCUGGUGAGAUACUGGCAGUCAUGAUGCGAACCGAGGCUUGCAUACUGGGGCUUCCUCUUUGUGUUUUUGCAUUGCCGUGAGAGGAACACGCUCUGCCUUGCUUGCUGGUCCAAGUAGGGUGACAGACAUAAGAGCAGACCUGGACCUAACCUGAAGUUUGAAGACAAGCCUAGCCAAGACAGCAUAAAUCAUCAGAUUCCCCCCGCCCACUUUCAGAUGUUUGAAUGAGAAUAAAGGAUUGCCACUUUAA